rnacentral:rRNA from 1 species
UACGUAGGGGGCAAGCGUUGUCCGGAAUCAUUGGGCGUAAAGCGCGUGUAGGCGGCCAGAUAAGUCCGCUGUGAAAUCUCGAGGCUCAACCUCGAGCUGUCGGUGGAAACUGUCUGGCUAGAGUCCGGAAGAGGAGAAUGGAAUUCCUGGUGUAGCGGUGAAAUGCGCAGAUAUCAGGAAGAACACCCGUGGCGAAGGCGGUUCUCUGGGCAUUACCUGACGCUGAGGAGCGAAAGUGUGGGGAGCGAACAGG